GACAGAGGGUGCAAACGUUGUUCGGAAUUACUGGGCGUAAAGCGUGCGCAGGCGGUUUUGUAAGCCAGAUGUGAAAUCCCCGGCUUAACCUGGGAAUGGCAUUGGGACUGCAAGGCUUGAGUGCGGCAGAGGAGACGUGGAAUUCCUGGUGUAGCAGUGGAAAUGCGUAGAUAUCAGGAGGAAUACCGAUGGCGAAGGCGGUCU
rnacentral:rRNA from 1 species